GGUUUUAAUUCUGUUAUGGCCCCAUAGAAUGCACUAACGAUCGGGCCUUCACUGCAGCAGAAAUACUUACCCUCCUUGCCGUAUCCGAUGAGGGUAAUUGCCUGACAACUGAGGCAGUCCACCUGCAGCCAAUCCCACCAAUCCAAGUCAUAUGAUAGCGAUGAAACCAAAAUCACAUAACUCGGAUCACUCGACUUGCCUGCAGGGAGACUGCCUGGGUUCUCAGGCAGAUCCCCC